CUCCCCUCCCUCCAUCAGAUGCGCAACCCUCCUCCUCUCUUUACCCCAAGGCUGCAGCUCCAACUCUCCCUCCUUUCUCUCCACAAAAAUGGAUUCUCGCCCAGCAGCAAUCCCGAUUUGCCGCUGCAUGUUUUAUCUCGUCACUGGUAUCCUUCCCAUGCUGUGGUAAGAUGAUUCUCCUUCUAUGUUUUUUUAUCAUGAACC
rnacentral:lncRNA from 1 species